rnacentral:sRNA from 1 species
GCUAGGUGUGGUAGUGCAUACCUGUAAUUCCCAGUGACUCUGGAGGCUGAGGCAGGAGGAUUGCAAGUUCAAGGCUAGCUUCAGCAACUUAAUGAGGCCCUAAGCAAUUUAGUGAGACCCUGUCUCAA